rnacentral:rRNA from 1 species
GAACUGGCUCGCCGGUCCGCCUCGCGGCGUGUACUGGUUCGGCCGGUUCUUUCCUUCUGGUGAACCGUCAUGUCCUUCACUGGGUGUGGCGGGGACCCAGGACUUUUACCUUGAAAAAAUUAGAGUGUUCAAAGCAGGCCUAUGCUCGGAUACAUUAGCAUGGAAUAAUAGAAUAGGACG